GUAAAGAAGUUUAGGCUUAAAAGUCCUUGCUCUGUCACUAAUCUCUCUGAAGGACCCCAGAUGAAUCACCGGACCUCUGUGAGCUUGUUUCCUCAUCUGUAAAAUGAGAGUUUUGAGGACAUGGUUGCUAAGAACCCCUUCCAGCUAUAACAUUCUGUCAUUCUAAUUCUGAAUACUCUGUCAGAUCUUCUUUUUCCUUUGUACUAUUUGCAUGCAGACUACCUAAAUACUCACAGAUGUUUAACUUCCAGAAUUUGUAUUAGCUCAGGCUGCCAUAACAAAAUACCUGAGACUGGAUGGCUUAAACAGCAGGCAUUUACCUUCUCACAAUCCUGGAGACUUAGAAAUACAAGAUCAAGAAACAGCAAAGGACAACUGAGUACAAACAGUUUUCUUCCUUCCUCAUUCAGCAAACCAUGGAGAAAGAUCUUGGCUUCUUGACAUUAAUAACUUUGCUUCAACUCUACUUGGAACUAUUUGGGCAGCUUUUCAAAAAUGAAAAAGUUCAUGAAUGCUAUUUGCUGUGUGGGGAUUUGGGAGCCGGUUAGGGAAAAAGCAGAGACAUGGGAGAAGAGACGAUCCCGUCUUUACUCAACUUUUCAAAGGAGUAAAUCCUUCAGUCGCCUUACAGU